rnacentral:tRNA from 1 species
GCCCUUGUAGCUCAGUUGGUAGAGCACGUCCUUGGUAAGGACGAGGUCACCGGUUCGAGUCCGGUCGAGGGCUCCA